rnacentral:tRNA from 1 species
GUUUUUGAAGUGUAAAUAUAGCACACUAGAUUUUCAUUCUAGAAGUAUAAAUUAAUUUAUCAAAAAUA